UCGAACGGUAACAGGAUGUGCUUGCACAUCGCUGACGAGUGGCGGACGGGUGAGUAAUGCUUGGGAACUUGCCUUUGCGAGGGGGAUAACAGUUGGAAACGACUGCUAAUACCGCAUAAUGUCUUCGGACCAAACGGGGCUUCGGCUCCGGCGCAAAGAGAGGCCCAAGUGAGAUUAGCUAGUUGGUAAGGUAACGGCUUACCAAGGCGACGAUCUCUAGCUGUUCUGAGAGGAAGAUCAGCCACACUGGGACUGAGACACGGCCCAGACUCCUACGGGAGGCAGCAGUGGGGAAUAUUGCACAAUGGGGGAAACCCUGAUGCAGCCAUGCCGCGUGUGUGAAGAAGGCCUUCGGGUUGUAAAGCACUUUCAGUUGUGAGGAAAAGUUAGUAGUUAAUACCUGCUAGCCGUGACGUUAACAACAGAAGAAGCACCGGCUAACUCCGUGCCAGCAGCCGCGGUAAUACGGAGGGUGCGAGCGUUAAUCGGAAUUACUGGGCGUAAAGCGCACGCAGGCGGUUUGUUAA
rnacentral:rRNA from 1 species